AUCUUACAUCCUACAUACUGCAAACUGCCAGCGGCAAAACUUGGUCCUUUCUCUCAUUCUGUGAAAAGUCCGGAAAUAAUGGGACACCGCUUUUCAGGCAAAAAAAUUCCGAAUUGCGCACAAAAACUCAUU
ensembl:ncRNA C14F11.31 ncRNA